UGGCGGCCGUAGCGCGGUGGUCCCACCUGACCCCAUGCCGAACUCAGAAGUGAAACGCCGUAGCGCCGAUGGUAGUGUGGGGUCUCCCCAUGCGAGAGUAGGGAACUGCCAGACA
rnacentral:rRNA from 19 species